rnacentral:rRNA from 1 species
UACGAAGGGGGCGAGCGUUGUUCGGAAUUACUGGGCGUAAAGGGCGCGUAGGCGGCUCUUUAAGUUAGGCGUGAAAUCCCCGGGCUCAACCUGGGAACUGCGCUUAAGACUGGAGAGCUAGAAAACGGAAGAGGGUAGUGGAAUUCCCAGUGUAGAGGUGAAAUUCGUAGAUAUUGGGAAGAACACCAGUGGCGAAAGCGGCUACCUGGUCCGGAUUUGACGCUGAGGCGCGAAAGCGUGGGGAGCAAACAGG